UACGAAGGGGGCUAGCGUUGCUCGGAAUCACUGGGCGUAAAGCGCACGUAGGCGGAUUGUUAAGUCAGGGGUGAAAUCCUGGAGCUCAACUCCAGAACUGCCUUUGAUACUGGCGAUCUUGAGUCCGGGAGAGGUGAGUGGAACUGCGAGUGUAGAGGUGAAAUUCGUAGAUAUUCGCAAGAACACCAGUGGCGAAGGCGGCUCACUGGCCCGGUAUUGACGCUGAGGAGCGAAAGCCAGGGGAGCAAACGGG
rnacentral:rRNA from 1 species